UACGUAGGGUGCAAGCGUUAAUCGGAAUUACUGGGCAUAAAGCGUGCGCAGGCGGCUUUGCAAGACAGAUGUGAAAUCCCCGGGCUCAACCUGGGAACUGCAUUUGUGACUGCAAGGCUAGAGUACGGUAGAGGGGGAUGGAAUUCCGCGUGUAGCAGUGAAAUGCGUAGAUAUGCGGAGGAACACCGAUGGCGAAGGCAGCUCACUAAGUCACAACUGACGCUGAUGCACGAAAGCGUGGGGAGCAAACAGG
rnacentral:rRNA from 1 species